rnacentral:rRNA from 1 species
GUCCACGCCGUAACGAUGAGUGCUAGGUGUCGCGGGUUUGACCCCUGCGGUGCCGUAGCUAACGCCUUAAGCACUCCGCCUGGGAAGUACGGCCGCAAGGCUAAACUCAAGGAAUUGACGGGGCCCGCACAAGCGGUGGAGCAUGUGGUUUAAUUCGACGCAACGCGCAGAACCUUACCUGGGCUGGAAAACGUUGGAACCUGCUAGAAAUAGUGGGGUGCCCGCAAGGGAAUCGACGUGCAGGUGCUGCAUGGCUGUCGU